GGGGGCUCCACAUGCUCGUAACCCCUUUCUUGUUGGUAAUCGCACUUUACGAGAAGACAAGCCCUCUACAACGAUGGGGAUGUGAGCUUUCAUGUCUUAAUUUGCUCAUAACGAAUGAUUUCCAGUUGUUUGUACGGUAACGUUAUCAGAAUGUUAUCUCGUCAAAAAAUAAAAUAUGCGGGUACAAAUUCAGAUGAAUAGCCAUUAGCAAUACCAUAUCACAUUGAUUUCAUGAUCAACCAGCACAGUGAGAAAUCCAACAGGUGUGGCAGAGAAUAACUACUGAGUGAAGCAUGCCACGAGUAGUUAUGAAUGCAAUCAACUGUCACUGCACAUUCGUCAAAAUCACUCAUCAUCAUAAACGACAACGUUUUUUUAAAUGGACAAGGCGAAAAUGGACAGGCACCAGUAAGAUUCCGUUCUAUUCGUUGACCCUUGAGGAUCACACAGCCAUAGUGAGCCACUUGCUUUUUACACGAAAGGACCCAGCUUUGACAAAAACACCCAAUCAACAGACCCUCUCAAGUUCCCUAAGAUCCCUGUUGGCCCGAGAAGCAGCCCUCCCAGGAGGCCCUCCAUGUAGAGCCCUGUGUGGCCCUGUUCCAGCGUCUUCUCCCUUGCUACGGGCCUUGGGGCCUGGCCAGGUCCCUUCUCUUUCACUUCCCCCAUGGUUUCUCCAGCUCCCCCAUCAGCAGCCCAGACACAGUCUCCGUCCUAUCCCACAAAGCCCUGGAGGACCCCUCCCCUUUCACCCUGGCCUCCACAGCCUCUACCCUACAGGUGACUGGGGCUGGCCAGUGGGGAUGGCCUGUGGGGGCUUGAAGGACCACUGGGAUAAACUGGAGUUGAGGGCCUUCCUGGGGCCCUUCCUCUCCUCCUGGUAGCCUGGAUUCGAGGCCCUACUGACGGGCGUGGUGGCCCGAUGUUGUGUACACAACUGGAGUCCCAGAACCGAGGGCAGGUGUGGGAGGGAGUGUCCUUUGACCUCUGCUGUGCCAGAGUGUGUACGGUACUGGAGAAGGGGUUGUAAGAGAAUUGGUUGUGAGCAAGUUUUGGAGCUUUAUUUUGAUUUAGUUCAUUCAGGAAAGGGAAUUGACAUUCAAUUAAUGAGAGGAAAAUUCAACAUUAACUGAAUUUCACACCUUUCACACCAAUGGAAUGGAGCCCAACCCUGGUUGUGAGCUGGUAUGUAUUGAUGAGGGGAGGGGAUGGCUGCCAUUUUACGGGCUCCUAACCAAUUGUGCUAUUUUGUGUUUUUUCCCCACAUUGUUUGUAACUAAUGUUUAUUUUAUUGUGUUACAAUGUUUUGUUGUUGUUGCUUUAGUUAACUUUGUAAAUAUUUUCUUCACUUUUAAUUUUCUUAAAACUGCAUUGUUAGUUGAGGGCUUGCAAUUAAGCAUUUCAAUGGGAAGUCGACACCUGUUGUAUUCGGCGCAUGUGACAAAUCACAUUUGAUUUGAUUUGAGUACGCAGUGUGGAUGACUCACCUACGUGGCGCCUCAUAGAUACCGUGGUGUAUUCGGACCCCAGGACGCUGCGUAUGUCUGCCGUCUCCUCAUUGAAGUCUUUCUCCCAGAGUUCUGCACAGAGACACAGAGGGGAGCAUGCUUUCAGUGGAAAUGACAGCGCUUUAACUACGUUGUAGGCUGCGAAACAAACAGGCAAUCAUAAUAUCAGUCAAGCAUACACAAUUCCCAGUUCAUGCUAUGAAACCAACUUCAUAAGAGGUUUUAAAAAUAGGUUCUCAGCAUUCAGCAUUCCAUGACGUACAGUGAGGCAUUGUUGUCAGAAUAGAUGGAUGCAGUUCAAUGCAUGAUUAAUAUAAUUCACCAAUACAUUUCCUGGUAGUCUAGAAAAUAUUGCUAUCAGGUUGUAAAUCACAGCUGGCCUGGUACAUUGUUUGCUGCCUCUAUUCGGGAUGCACUGUUUCAGUUUCAAUGACACAAACAAAAACGGACUAAUGUAACUAAGGCUGGGAAUGUCAAUACAAUCAAACUAUCAAGGGCAAUGAUCACAAGUCAGUCAUAACGUGGCUAAUAGGCUAGAAUAUCUAUGUCUGUAUGUAGCAAGCUAAAAACAUUGACUAAAUAUGACCAGUGUUAGUGAACGUUGGCAAAAUAAAGUUAUAGUUUGUCACGAACGCUCUUAGAUAACAUGUAAACAGCCUAACCAGCUCUACUACCAUGAAGAAAGUUGUCAGAGUGAGGUGUUUUCUCAUUUGUGUCUGAAAGUAGCUAGCUAGCAAGCUAGCCAACUUUAGCCAGUUAGCUUGGGUGCUUGGUCGGGACAAGCAUGUAUUGGCAGGCAAGCUGCAGAAGUGCGAG
ensembl:lncRNA